rnacentral:rRNA from 1 species
GACGUAGGGUGCAAGCGUUGUCCGGAUUUACUGGGCGUAAAGCGCGCGUAGGCGGCUCGUUAAGUGUGAAGUGAAAUCCCGGGGCUCAACUCCGGAACCGCUUUACAUACUGGCGGGCUCGAGGGAUGCAGAGGUCUGUGGAAUUCCUGGUGUAACGGUGAAAUGUGUUGAUAUCAGGAGGAACACCCAUGGCGAAGGCAGCAGACUGGGCAUCUCCUGACGCUGAGGCGCGAAAGCGUGGGUAGCAAACAGG